CUUCCAGAAUAUAAUGUUCCUCGAGAGCAACAAGAAAUGGAAAUUCAAGCUAACAUCUUUGCUUUUGGAGUAGUUUUACUGGAAAUAAUCAGUGGAAGACCUCCAUAUUGCAAGGAAAGAGGGUGUCUGAUAAAUUGGGCCACAAAGUAUCUUCAAAACCCAGAAGAGAUAAGUAAACUAGUAGA